rnacentral:rRNA from 1 species
UACGGAGGGUGCAAGCGUUAUCCGGAUUCACUGGGCUUAAAGGGUGCGUAGGCGGGUAUAUAAGUCAGUGGUGAAAGCUCCGGGCUUAACUUGGAAACUGCCAUUGAUACUGUAUAUCUUGAAUGUCGUAGAGGUUAGCGGAAUGUUGCAUGUAGCGGUGAAAUGCUUAGAUAUGUUGCAGAACACCAAUUGCGAAGGCAGCUAACUAUGCCAUAAUUGACGCUGAGGCACGAAAGCGUGGGGAGCAAACAGG